rnacentral:rRNA from 1 species
GAUGAGCGCUGGCGGCGUGCCUAAUACAUGCAAGUCGAGCGAACGGACGAGAAGCUUGCUUCUCUGAUGUUAGCGGCGGACGGGUGAGUAACACGUGGAUAACCUACCUAUAAGACUGGGAUAACUUCGGGAAACCGUAGCUAAUACCGGAUAAUAUUUUGAACCGCAUGGUUCAAAAGUGAAAGACGGUCUUGCUGUCACUUAUAGAUGGAUCCGCGCUGCAUUAGCUAGUUGGUAAGGUAACGGCUUACCAAGGCAACGAUGCAUAGCCGACCUGAGAGGGUGAUCGGCCACCCUGGAACUGGGACACGGUCCAGACUCCUACGGGAGGCAGCAGUAGGGAAUCUUCCGCAAUGGGCGAAAGCCUGACGGAGCAACGCCGCGUGAGUGAUGAAGGUCUUCGGAUCGUAAAACUCUGUUAUUAGGGAAGAACAUAUGUGUAAGUAACUGUGCACAUCUUGACGGUACCUAAUCAGAAAGCCACGGCUAACUACGUG